GGUGACUCAGUGGUUGAGUGCUUGUCUUGUAUGCGUGAGGCCCUGGGUUUGAUUCCUAGCACCA
rnacentral:tRNA from 1 species